rnacentral:lncRNA from 1 species
GAAUUUUCUUGACCAAAAUUAUAUCUGCUCGUGAGGGUUAUUACAUUCUUCCCCCCUCAAAAGAAUUCGUCCCCGAAUUCUGAAAACGUAACUGUACACUCUUUACUGAACAGUCUCUGAAAGGAGUUCUGGAUAUUAGCUCUGACCUUAUCUUAAUCUGCCCAUAUCAAAACAACUCAUGGUUGAUCCCUUGAUUCUCCCAACCGAUCCUUUCUUUUAUGAGCAGCCACUUUCAAGAUAACCAAAUUCUUUACUCUGCACAACUCUUGUCAACUGCGGUCUGCAUACUUUUUCUAACAAUCUUGUAUCUAUAGACUAUCACUUCUCAACCUUUUUUAUCUGGCUUUCUCCCAUAACAGCAACAUGAAAUUUGGAACGUGAGGUGAUGUGCCAUACGUGAAUGUAACAUCUCCAGUCUGGUCAAUGUUAACUUGAUUAACCGUGCAACAAUCAAACAAGAACAUGCACGAUCAAUCACGCUAACAUGAUUCAGACCAAGGGUGCCACUCUCAAAUACACACAAACACACUUAUUCCAGAAAUGAUUUCCCUUACAGUAUUCCAUACCCUUCUUAUCUAUCUGAGAUACUCUUCAAAAACUUCUGAACGACUCAAUCUCACUGAAAUUUCGCAUAUCCAAGUCUUGUUCUAUUACUUUCUGAUUUCCUUCUUCUG